UCACCUUCCUCACUCCUCGGACCUCCGAAGAUGCAGGCAGGAAGAUCACACAACAGGGCAGGACUGGGGCUCGAAGGCAGGUUCUCAGAGAAGACGGCCCUAUUUCCACUCUGGUGCUAUCACCAAUUAGCCGUGGGAUGCUGGGCUCAUUAGUUAACGGUGACAUUUCCAGCCUUCUCCACUUGUGAAAUGCAGCAGCAGUCGUCAAACUCAGGGUCCUCUGGAGAGAGACGGAGACACUGAGGCCCACCCCAGAGUCUGGGACUCCGCAGGUCUGAGUGGGGCCAGAGAUGGGCAUUCCUAACAUGCCCCCAAGGCUGUGCCAAUGCCACUGGGACCCCACUCUGAGAGUCACUGGCUUACGAGGUUGCCAUGAAAUCAGACAAUGUCCCUAAAGUGGCGAACCAAGGGCCGGUACAUAAGGCAGCACCCCUGAACACGAGCAGCUCUCCCCAUUACUGUCACUAUUGCACAGUGAAGAGUCUCCCAACCGCUCCAGCUCUGGCCCAGCAACCAUGGCUGGUGCCCGUGUCCCCCGUCUCUUACCCAGUGCAGGGGCUCCAGGCUUGGGGCUGAUGUGACAUCACACACAAAGGUAUCCUCACUUCCCCUCCUACAAAGGAACGGAAACACCUGGGGAAAGGCUGGAUCCCAAGGGGCCCCUGAAGCCCUAAGAGUUCACCUGAUUGUUCCAAAGCAACAUUCCCCCCCAUGAACAACUCAGGGACCCCCUCGAUCCACGGCGUGCGGCUCACCGGCAGAGGAAGAGAAGCUUCCAGUCCUGACUCCCACCAGGCGCAGGGGAGCCGAGGUGAGCUCCCAGGCCCGCCGGAUCUUCCCGUGCCAAGAGGGAAAUCAAACAGCUUUUCCUGCCUAGGAAACAGUAACAACCACUUCAGAGUGAUCACCGCCCGGCCACGCACAGCCUGGAGGAGCCCAUGUCCUAUUAGGGUAUCUGCUUUGCCUCCGAUUACCUGGCAAAUAAACCAAUUUAGGAGUCCACCAGGGUCUUUCUGGCCACCUCUCCAGAGCCCUGGCUGGGCCAGUCUUGUCUUCAUUUCCAUACAGCCAGCAUCCUCAGUGAGACGGAGAAAUGUCAUUAUUUACCAAGAAACCAAGGUCUGAAAAUGGCAAUUACUCGGCAGGUCAGCAGAAAGCCCCAGGAUACUUCUCUCCACAGGAUUCAGCCAGCAGCUCGGAGCUGGAAGACGCAGCCAGUGCCUACCCCACAGGUUCCUACCCCCUGUCAACUCGCAUCCCAUUGGUUUACAAAAACGAGUAUGUAUCCCCCCCCAUGAAUACAUAUUCAUGCCUCAAAAUGUAAGUCUAUUGCAUACUUUAUAAAACACAAACUGAAAAGUGGCAUGUAAAAUGCAGAUAUAAACAUGAAACGAUUCACCCGCCUGCUCUGUGGGCCCCGGGGACUGGAUUCCGCACCUCCAGGGUGGAAGGAGACAAGCUCCCUGCACCGUUGACCCUAGGAUUGACCAUGGGACUUACUUGGCCAAGGGGAUGUUCGUGGGUGUGACCCAGGCGGGAGCCCUCAGUGAGCUCCAGAGGUUGAGUCUGGUGUCCUGCGAUUUCCCACGGCAAGACCAUGCCGGGAAGGAGCUAGUCAAGCUAGUCAAGAAUGCACGGAGAUGCGUGGAAGAGGCCUGAGGCCACCGCGGCCCGGAGCAGAGAGCAGGGCAGACCCAUGAGCAGGCACAGCCAUGCUCCCUGCUGCAGGCCACAGAGGCUGGGCUGCUUGUCAGGCAGCACCCAUGCAGGGAGAGCUGACUGGCUCUGAUUCCGGCCACCACCUGGUCCUCAUUCUGCCCUCCGAAGUUCCACAUGGACGAUACUGUAUCCCCAAGGGCUCAAGGGAGGGAAAGCUCGCCAGCCAAUACCCAACUACCUCAAAUCAGCCAGAGCCAGAAAACUGGCCUGAGGAUGGGGCGCCCCAUGGCCUGGCUCACAACCAGCCUGAGGGCAGGGCUCGGGGGGCGGCCCUUAGCCCCUUGCCCAGGACUGUCCUCCUCCUCCACCUGCUCAGUCCCAGCUCCCAUCCCCGCCCCUAAACCAGGAGCUGGCAGCAACUCUCGGUAGAGGGCCAGGUAGUCAAUAUUUUCGGCUUUGCAGCCCCAGGCCAUCUCAGUGGUUUCACGUAUUUUUCUUUUUUUGUUAUAACCCUUUAAGAUGAUUAAAACCCUCCUUAGCUUCCUGGCAAUAUAAAAGCAGGCCACUUGACCUAAAACCCGGAGCAUCCACUCCUGAAUCCGCCUUCAGGAAGGGGCAUGGAGCUGACCAUGAGCUGGUGACAGAGAGGUCCGUGCACUGCCUGGAUCCAUGGCACCCCCACGCCAAAUGGUCCACAGGGCGAUGGAGGGCAUCGUGCCCCUGCCACCCCCUCACCCUGACCCUACACCCUCAGCCCUAUCCCUACCCUCAGCCAGAGGGGCCUCAGGAAACCGGGUGUACGGGGUCUGCUCAAGGCCUCUCCUGCUCUCUUCAUUCUGGCAGGAGCCUGGCUUAGUCUGGGGACACCAUGGGGCCUUCUAGGCUGCUGGGCGCUCUGACAGGGGAGCAGAAAGGGGCCUCCAGGGCCCCAGGGAGAGCUGCAAGACCCUGGCUGCAGUGCCUGCUGGGCUGGGCUUCCCCCUGAAACAAGAAGGAGGCCAUGGCGCUUGGUUUGACGCUCAUCGGGAGCUCCUUGCUGCCAGCUUCUGGGUCCUCCCAGGAGCCUCAUCCAGCUGUGGGACCCGCGGGCUGGGACUGAGAGGCCAGGCUGGCCAGGGCUGCAGGCUCGGUCACUAAGUGGCAGGGCCCAGAUUGGAAGCCAAGCCCCAUCCUCUGCCCACAUGCCUCCUGGCACACAGACAUGGCCUGCCCUGGGGUUUUGUCCCUGGUAUCCCUGGUCUAGAGUGGAUGGAGGAGUGGGGAAUGCCACCCUGAGCUCCCAUGGACAGACCCCAUCUCUCCCAGACGAUGACGAUCUUGCCUGGAAAUGCACCAAGAAUAGAGCGGGAACCUCAUGUCCUCAGGUCCCCAGGGAGCCGGGCCAUGUGGUGGCAGCACCAGCCUCCCCCGCCCCACCCCACCCCCACCCCAGGUGUCUCAAAGGCAGAGGAACGAGAGCCACAGAACAAUCCGUUCCAUCGGGGCCUCUGCCAGCACCAAGCCAUCUGGCUCAAGUCAGCGGGACCUCCCCAAUUCCUGCCAGACUGCGAGGCCGAGGGGGUUUUUGUUUGGGGUAGCAUUCCCUCCUGACCACAGCCAUCGCUAAGCGCUCCUAAAGGAGAGGCACCCGGGCCAGCCACGUCCAGAGGGAGCCCCUGUCCCAGGUCCUGCUCCUCUGCAGGCCGCAGAACUCAGCCAGCCGCAGCCCAGCCAGGCCUCGCUGCCAUCGCCCAGCCAGCGCCAGUGUGUCCGGGGGCUGCCUCGGGUCUGUGGGGCAGCUCCCAGCCACUCCUCCACACACAGAUGUGAAGCUCCUCCCUUCCCCAGCAUAAACCCUCCUGGAGCAUGGAAAGCCACCGCCGUGUGCAUGUGUGUGUGCGCUGCCUGUGCCCAUGGGCAGCUGCAAACAAAGGCACUCUGUCCUCCCCGCAGCACAGGGCACAGGGAGCCGGAAGCCUUGGCCGCAGAUGAAGACAGGCAUGCUGUUGACAUGGAAACCCAAUAGUUAAAAAUUCUUCAGGCGGUUUCGAAAUGUCAAAUUUUGAUAACCAGGUUGGAGUCCUUGUUCCUCCAUAGUGAAAUGUUUGGCAAAACAAGCCCUGCCAUGAAUUCCUGACAACUUGUCAGCCACGGCGCACGCCUGAGCCAUAUGUCCCUCGCUGGGCAGUGCGCGCUCGUUACCCACCCGCGCCGGUUCCCGGUGCUGACAUGCUGUCGGGGCUGAAAGGAUGGCCUGCCUCUCCGGGCUCGUCUUUUAUGGACAUAUAACUUGUUGGCGGACAAAGGACAUCCACUUGUUUCUCGGCUUGCCGAGGGGAAAGCCCUCUGAUAGACAAUUCUCCCUCUAUGUUGCGCCACAAAAACCCGGGACUGCUGGCAUUUGCCUUGAGCCGGGGACGGGCGGCCCCAUCAAGCACCUGGAGGAGACAUUCCCGGAAGUGAAGCUGGAGGAGGAGACGUUCCCGGAAGUGAAGCUGGAGGAGGAGCUGCUUGGCUCCAGGCACAGGCACAGGCACAUUCCAGGGCCCUGUGGGCUCAACUGCAGCCUCCCUCAGGCCCUGCCCUCCAGCCUGCCCUGCUCACCCACCCAGGCUGUCCUGGACCUGCUGCUCAGCUGACACGGCCCCUCCUCUCUGCCUCCACACUCCUCAGUCCUAGAGCUGGCCAUGCAGGGUUAUCCCCGUGGGAGCCCUCUGCAGACCCCCCCGGAGGAAGGCCCGGCCCCACCUCACCUGCCUGUGCCAUCUCAUCUGUUUGACCCACCUCACCUGCCUGCCCUACUUCACCUGCCUGGCCCUCUCAUCUACCUAUCAGCCCUCAUCUGCCUGACUCCCCUCGCCUGCCUGACUCCCCUCACCUGACUUAUUCAUUUCACCUGCUUGCUUCCCCACCUGCUUGACCCACCUAAACUGCCUGGCCCCCCUCACCUGCCUGUCUCCC